UAGCAUAGUGGUUAAGUGCUAUGGCUGUUAGCCAAAAGGUCAGUGGUUCGAAUCCACU
rnacentral:tRNA from 1 species